AUCUAGCUGACGAGUCCGGAAUAGGACGAAACAUCCGUCAACCUGGAU
rfam:Schistosoma mattheei strain Denwood, Zambia genome assembly, scaffold: SMTD_scaffold0001982